AUGCAUGACCUAUGGGCUAUGGUCACUCGAAAAAUGAGUUGACCGGAAGUUCCGGCGAGUGUUUGUGUGUGUGUGUGUUGGUGCUCUUGGACAGAUCACUGGAUGGAGUUGGGACUGGAGUCCAGGAUGCAGUGCAUCGAAGACCAUUCCAGCUAAGAAUGGAUGCUAUGGUCACUCGAAAAACCAGUUGACCGGAAGUUCCAGCGAAUGUGUGUGUGUGUAUUGGCGAUUGUGGACAGAUCCACUGGAUAGAUAUGGAGAUUUUGCAUUGAUUACUGGAUUUAUAUAAAUGGAGAUGUCGUCAUUCAAGACUCCAGAGCAUCGAAAACUUCUUCAGCUCAGUCAAAUGAAGGCAUACAGCAAAAAGACGUACUGUUUUGGACAGCUGGCUUUCUCUGCUAUGGAUCAUAUAUUUUUUGACCAAUUUUCGCAAAUCAUUUCAUGGGCAAUAGCUGUUGGCACUUACUCAUAGGGCAGACCGUUUCGACAUGAUAUUGGUAAUACAUGGCCAUAUGAAUAUUAUAUCUAUAAAUAAAUCAUGCAUUUCGUUUUGAGCCGGGAACCUUCUGUCUUUUUGUUUGGCACGUAGUUCAGCAAUUUGGUGAGUGGCUGAAAAAAGGCUUUUGAAUUUUUAAUUGGAAAGGCAGCCGUGCGUGGCCCGGACCCUCCUUCCUCCGGGCAAGUGUUGUAAUAAUAACAAUUUGGUAUCUCCGCCUA